GGGUUUGUUCCUAAGCUAAAAAUUGGACUUGUAACCUAUAAAUACAUGAUGUGAGGCAUAGAAUAAAAGGGGAUUACAUAAAUUAGAUUAGAGAUACACUCCAUUAGAUUAGAACAUAACCCUAGUUUUUAUUAGUUUUGGAGAUUGAAGCAACUUUGAGACCAUUGAAGAAAAAGAGCAGGAGCUUGAGGAAGAUGGAGAUUUGCUGACAACAGAUUUAUUCUUCACUACAAUCUUACUUUUAUCUUUUAAUGCCUAUUCAAUUGUGAAUUCUUGGUUUUAAUUCAUUAAUCAUGAACUAACUCUUUUAUUAAGA
rnacentral:lncRNA from 1 species